GUGAAAGCAGGUUAUCUUGCUGGUGAUUCCUGUAUACCUGAGGUCUUCUGAAGACUAGGAGCUGACCUGUGAUCUGCAAUGACAUCUGGAGGCAGAAAUGAAGAGUUAGUAGAUGCUAACAUAAGCUAUGUGAUGAGGUCUGCAAGAAAGUGUGUUGUGUCUGCAGUCCUGGUCAUGGCAAGUGAAUUGCCUAAGACAGUCUUGAGCAGAGUGAUGGUGAGAUUUGACUUCUGGAGACUAUCUUAGACAUUGCCUGUUGGAAGCAAGCUUUGGGGCAGGCCUGGAAUAGCUGGAGAAGUGCCUUCCCUGCUCCUCCACAGCCUCACGUAGUCUGCCCUGCCCUUCUCUUUGUGAUUGUCUCUAGACUAGCCUUUCCCCUGGGAUGGGAGAGUUGAAGGAAAUCAGUAUUAGUCCUAUUGAUAUAAUAAAGACUGUGACUGUUCACAAACUGUUCUUUUUCUCUUUAAAACUGUAUGUUUUUGUCCUUCUGGUCAUGAAGGCUUAACAUUGGUGUUGCAGUUGAGAACAGGAUGGAGACAGCAGACAAUAAUGUUGGGAAUGAUUCUGCCCAUCCCUGUUGAGCCAUCUUCCAUGCAUUUUCCCUUCCUUUGUUCUGUGUUGUGCAGCAACAGGGACAUUUGGCUCAUCAUUUACAGCUGCUGUUCUGUCCUUUAAUACAGACUGUGAAUUUCACUAGCUGAUACUAAGGAUUUCUUUGAGUAUGUGCAUCAGACAGUUAUUUACCCCAAGCCUCCCGAAGCAACUUCUUGA